rnacentral:rRNA from 1 species
AUUGAACGCUGGCGGGAUGCCUUACACAUGCAAGUCGAACGAGUGGCGGACGGGUGAGUAAUAUAUCGGAACCUGCCCGGUAGCGGGGGAUAACUACUGGAAACGGUGGCUAAUACCGCAUACUAUCAGAGCGGCCCAUAUCGGAUUAGCUAGUUGGUGGGGUAAAGGCUCACCAAGGCGACGAUCCCUAGCUGGUUUGAGAGGAUGACCAGCAACACUGGAACUGAGACACGGCCCAGACUCCUACGGGAGGCAGCAGUGGGGAAUUUUGGACAAUGGGCGAAACCCUGAUGCAGCCAUCCCGCGUGUAUGAGAAGGCCUUCGGGUUGUAAAGUACUUUUGGCAGAGAGGCGGUAUCUGCAGAAUAAGCACCGGCUAACUACGUGCCAGCCGCCGCGGUAAUUC